GUUUUCUUAGUGUAACUGGAAGCACAUCUGGCUGGCAAUCAGAAGAUCCGGAGCUCGAAUCCCGGCAAGGAUA
rnacentral:tRNA from 1 species